CUUCACCGAACCGAGCCACACCGGCCGGUCCUCGGUGUGCUCCUGGCCGUAGGUGGCCAGCAACGCCUGCGCCUC
rnacentral:antisense_RNA from 1 species